CUCGUGCGGAACUUUCUCCUGUUAUUUGCCGUUUUUCUUAACAAAUUGCCAUGGUAUCAGCAGUUCUUUGGAGUCUUUGCUAUUGACUAUGUUUUCAAAAUCUCUUCGUCUUUCGAUCUCCAGUGUCUCUCUUAUGGGUCCUUGUUUCAUGUUGGUUGUGCGUUUUAGUAGCUUGGCCCGGUCCCACUGUACUUCUGUGUUCUCUGCAAAAAAUUCUUUGGCUAAUGCCAUUGUUGUCUUUGCUUUUCUUAGGUCAUUUUUAUGCUUGUCUAACCUUUCAUCAUUGUACGGCUCGUGAAACCUAUAUAUUUACUUGCGAUUUUACUGUUCUUUGUUAAUGAG
rnacentral:lncRNA from 1 species